GACGAACGCUGGCGGCGUGCCUAACACAUGCAAGUGGAGCGACGAACCAGGGCUUGCCCUGGGGCCAAGCCGCGAACGGGUGAGUAACACGUGGAUAACCUGCCCCGAUGACCGGGACAACCCGAGGAAACUCGGGCUAAUACCGGAUGUGGUGGACACACUUAAGUGUGUCCACUAAAGGAAGCUUCGGCCUCCGCAUUGGGAUGGGCCCGCGGCCCAUUAGCUAGUUGGUGGGGUAAAGGCCUACCAAGGCAACGAUGGGUAGCUGGUCUGAGAGGACGAUCAGCCACACUGGGACUGAGACACGGCCCAGACUCCUACGGGAGGCAGCAGUGGGGAAUCUUGCGCAAUGCGCGAAAGCGUGACGCAGCAACGCCGCGUGAGGGAAGACGGCCUC
rnacentral:rRNA from 1 species